UUUCUUAACCUUCAAGUCAAAAGCUCUCUUUUUCACUUUUGAAUCCUUGGUUCUAAAGCAAAAUUGACGUUAAAUUCAUGUUAUAAUCAUAGAUUUGAGUGAUAAUCAUUUCAAAAAUUGCCUCAGUUCAUUAACUUCUAAAAUAAUAAAAUAAUGUCCAAGUACUGAAUGAGAUUAUAUACAUAAGUGCAGAAUUUUUUAGUGCAAAUUUUCAGAAUAACAAUAUUGCCCUUCUUUUACUAAAACAGUCAUAAUUUUUCGUGCGGAUGUCGGAAUGACGAACAAUUUAAAUUUUUGAAAACUAGAUUCAAAGGGAUACAACUUUCAAUUUGAAUCAUCCCCAAAUUCUAUAAAGAUUGCGAUCAAUUCUCUUGUGAAUCAAGCAAAGUGCAGAAAAUCACGCUUAACACUUCAAAUCUCAAAAAUUUGCUCCAUACGCGCCAAUAUUCACUUGAGCCCCUUGGGUAUCCUUCAAACCAUCCCGACACCAAAUACCCUAUAUCAGUAGGCUGAAAAUACAAAUAAAAAUGCUGCAACACAGUCAACUUUCAAAAAGAAAUAUUAAUUGGUGUUUCACUUUAGUACAUACUUAACAAGCUAUCGUGUCACUCUUAAUGAUCAAGAGAUUAAAUUAUAAUAAAUGAGCGAAUAUUGAAAUUGGAAUAUUAUACGUGUAAAUGUAAUGCACAAAAUCUAUGUUUGUAUGGUGAAAAAAGCAAACCGGAGGAUAAAACGUUAUUGUGGACCAUUUCUAACAUCCCAUUUGGGGUGAUAUUAGUGAAAUCUGUAUACAAAAAGAGGUGAGGUGGCACUCUCCUAUCCCAAGUUUUAUAUAUAUCUUUGCCAUUUUCUUCUUACGCACCUUUUAAAAAACAUUGCUAUGUUAAAACUUCAAUACUCACCUUUUUACAGUUAUGGAUUGUAACUGUUGGGAAAAACACAUUAGAACCUCGACGUUUAGAGCAGGAAUCUAUAAGAACUCUUAAUUUGUUUGCUUUGUCCGAUAACGUGUAGAUCCAUAUCUAUAGAUAUUAACAUGACAAGUUGCUAUCGUUCCUCGAAUGAUGCGAACGUUUCAACUUUCAGAUAGUAUGCGUCUUUUAUCCUUGAUUUUCUUUCUGCUUCCUAUUUCAAAAGUUUUUUUGCAACUUAAUUUAUAUGUAUUACUUAGGAACAGUGCUACGCAAUUAUGUUUCUUCAUCAUCUCCGAAGUAGUACCAAGUUUUCUGCCAAAAGAAUUUACCUUGAGUAAGUGUUAUUUAGGAAAACUUAGUAGGUUUCAUGCUCCUUAGUACUUAUUAAUAAAAAGGAUUGCUCAAGUAUUUGUUAGAUUUAUAUUUAUCUAAUUUCUCAGAUUUUUUCAACUUUUCCCCUUAUUUCCUUUUAUCCCGUUGAAUUCUAUUUCAAAUUUUACAAAUUGUUUCUAUUAUAACCUUAUUAAUUCCCUUUUUCUAUUAGAUAUCGUUACAUAAUAUUCCAGUUACAGAAUAAGUUCCCAUACAUCUUACCCAAUCCAUUGUUCUACGUGACACAAAUUUUGAAAAGUAUUUCAGCGGGCAAUUCAUUUUUUCUUUUUGAAUUUAUUAAUUUUCUCUAUGAAGCUAAAAUUUCUAUUACUGAAUUGAAUGAUUUGCUAAUUCUGAUGAACGAUGAUUGACUUAUCUUUUGAACAAAUGCGUGAUGAGCAUUUGAUUAUUUGUUUGCUUAUUAAAGUUUGUUGUGAUUUUUGGAGCAACAUGUUCCACUGGUAUUUGCUACAUUUUACAAGAACAUCAAGUAAGUUCCUUUGUAGGACUAAAAAAUUAGUUCUCUUUUACUCUGUCUUUUUACUUUUGACUAGGUGGUGUUUUCAUAUUAUCUUGAUAUGUAUGGACGUAAAUUAUAGAAGAAUUUAGACCUAUCCAAAAAACAAAAAAAAAUUAUGUUACUAGAAAAAGAGAGAUUUAACAUUCUUUUUUUGAAAAUAAUAAGCGAGCCAGUUAGGAAGUUAAAGAAAAAAUAAUUAUAGACAAGACUUAUCAAAAUUGAUUUUGUGGAUUUUCGAAUCAUAAGACCAUAAAAAUUUAUUUCUUUCAUUAAAAGAAAAAAAUUAGAUACUUCUGUACAUAUAUUAAAGAAAAAAUCAUGUUUCAACACUUAUUAAACACAUGCAUAUAAAUACUUUACAUGUUCUAACGGACAAAUUUUAUAGAUUUACCUAUAUAGGUUAUACAAAAAAUAAAAAUUUUUAGAUGACGAAAACCCUUACAUGAUAAAAAAUUAGAAAAAAAUAAAAAAAUAAGUGUUAAUAAUAAAAUAGAUUAAAAUUACUUUAAAAUUAAGUAGGAACAAAUAUUACAAAAUAUUGUUUGUAAUAAUUAAUAUCACGUACGACCAAUAUUUGCCUCUAAAUACAAUCGCUAAUGUAUAUUAUUAUCUACCGUAAUUAAAAUAAUAUUGUUUACAAGCAACAUAGGGUUCAAAGGCCUAAUUUAUAAAAUUGCAAGAAGUUAUAAUUGGGAUGAUUUUUAUAUGGAUUUUCUUUUCUAUUUUAACUUUCUCAUACGCAUGUCUUACAAAAAAAAAUUAAAUUGUUGGUGUUAAGAAAGUGUUAUUUCUUUUAACUUGAUUUGACUGCGCAAAGCGCGGUUAAUUUAACUAGUUAAUUAAAAAUGCUAUUUCCAUGUCAUCGUGAUAGCAUUUCUUAUUUUCCCCACAGAAUUUUAGGAAUCCAAAAAACUCCAGAUCGCCUAUGCAUUAAUUUCCCUACAGAGCGGAGAAUCCAAGAAUUUCUUUUACCUACUAACUUAUGGCAUCGGUAAACCAAAUUAGUAGUAAUUUUCUCCAUCAUAGCGUACUAAAACAUCAUAUAUGCAUAUACAACAUAAAUCUUCUAAAAUAAGUGCUUUUUGCUUUCAAAGUUAAAGUAUUUGGCCAAGUUUUUAGAGGAAAAAAAAAAUAUUUUUGAGUAGAAGCAAGUAGUUUUGGAGAAGCAGAAAAAAAUAACUUCUCUUCAAAAGCACUUUUUUUGAAAAGCAUUUUUUGAGAAAAAUACGAAGCAGUUUUUAAAAGCUUGGUCAAACUCUAAUUGCUGCUCAAAAUUGCUUUUCAAAUAAAUUAGUCAAACACAUACUGCUUCUCACCAAAAAUACUUUUGAAAAAAGCACUUAUCAUAAAAAAAAAAAAAACUUCUCAAAAUAAGCUGAUUUUUGCAGCUUGGCCAAACAGGCUAUGAUUGUAGAAUUUUCGUGAUUUAACACUUUAACCAGUGAUUAACAUGCACAUAGCUAAUAAUUAGCUAUAUUGCUACAAAAGUUGUUGGAUGUGCAGACAAAAUCCUAUAUUGAUAGCUGAAAAGAUUGAAAACUCACAUAUAAAAUGUAAAAAUCUUUAAAUGAUACGAAGUCUUUUGGGAAAAACCAUGCAGAUUUGACCCAAAGCGCACAAUAUCACUUCAUGUUAAGACUACUGUGUUUUGGGAGAAACCACGCAGACUUGACCCAAAACGCACAAUAUCACUUCAUGUUAAGACUACUUUCGGGCUGGUUGAGCCUAGAGAAGUUUUUGUGACAUAGCCAUAUUACUAAAGCUUUUGCAACAAAAAAUAUAUAUUAGAAACAAAUAAUUUUACUCCUUACGACAAAUCGAAUAUUUAGCAGUUGUGGAUGACCAAUUAUAUAUUCAUGUCAUAUACAUACGAAAUGAAAGUUGAGAACCGACAUCUUUGGGCAUUUCCAAACUCUCAAGUGUCAUGAAUACGUACAACUUGGCAGCUGACAAAACACAUGUACCGAUCAAAUACACAAUAAUUUCAUGAAACAUGAAAUGGAAGCUGAGAAAUAACUCUACUUUAGCCAAGAUAAUUUGAAAGCGAAUACAACAAUAAGUAUGCCUUAAUCCCAAAAUCUCUAGUAAAAGCGAGGUGUUUCAAGAACAAAGAAAUAUGGGAAGGCAUAGUCAUGAGUCCCUCUCUAGAAACCGGAAAAUGAUUCAGCAGAACAAGAGAAGCAUUUAUCUGUUACCCAUUUGGAAGUUGGAACAAUCGAAACUCCAAAAAGCAUGAGUCAAAAGCCAUCACUUGAUUGUAACAAUCUUGAUCCCAGAAGCAGCUCCAAUGCAGUGUAUCGCUACAAGACAAUCACUUUCCUUGCAUAACACUUAUGUUUUGGCAUGUUGAAGAGCGAAUACCCUUGGAUGUUACCUUUUGAGCCAAGAAUAUCUUCUCAACUGAAAUCUCCGUUACCAUAAAUGCAUUAGAGUUGGCAAGAAUGUUGUCAUAAAGCCCCGGGGCAUAUCAUGACCCCGCUUGAACAUUGCUCCAAAAGUUUCCUUUUUGUCAAUGUCAAGUGGAUUCAACAUCUGUUAAACAACUUUUUCAUGGUUUGACAAUAAUUUACACAUAAAAUUAGUAAAAGAUUUUGACAAGUGUUCAACUGGAUACGCUUGUACAAGCACAGGUCCGCCACUGUUUUAGAUGGAUGGAAUUCUUCAGCCAAAGCUUAGAAAUUAAGCCUCCAACUAUAGAUCAGUAAAUCGCUCAUAGCAAUACAUCUCACCAACUAUGUACACACAGUUCUGAAAGUGAUGAAUUUAUAAAGUGAGCCAACCUUGCUACACAACCUCACUGGUCCAAUCAUUUAUUUCCCAAAAUGUGUUAAUAAAUGCACAAAAUUCAAAACCCCAACCCCUCUCCAACCCUAUGAUUCCAGCAACUACGCAUCAAUUCCAAGUAAAUCGGAUGGAGCCCUCAAUAUUCAUUCUGCUCAAUUUAGACUCAUUUCACUCCAAUGCCGGAAAAGAUUACCAAACACCCAAAGAACCUACUAAUAUACAUAUAGAUUAAACUACUUGUGUUCGUUAAUAUACAUUUCAUACGGCCGGUCACAUUAAAUAAUGAGAAAUAUUAUUAUUCAUCUUCAAUAAUAGAAUAUUGCAGAUAUUUUUAAUGCAAAAUACUAUGAAUCGGUUCAUCUUCAAUUCUCACAUGCAUCUUCCAAAAACAACGGAUAUAAACUUAGGCUAACUUUCUUCAUUGGGUCAACUUGGAAACAAAUUUUACCAUAAUUUAUUUCCUAGCCAAACUAUCUAGCUCUAAUUAUUUAGAGAACUAUUUGAAUGCGAUUCAUUUCCUGGAGGCAAGCAAGAGAGUCAACUGAAUCUUGCAAAAUUUUAACAUGGAGGCCGACCUUGUAACAAGUUAGAACAAUAAUAAUAAAAAUGAAACAAUUAUAAUUCAUGCAAGAGAACCCGUUUAAUUAUAGAUAAGUGUAUAAAUUACAAUCUUUAAAAAGCAAUAAGAUGUUCACGCAAAAACAUUCAUAAUACGUGAAUUAUUAUUUCUAACAUCCCAUUGCUUAAACAAAAUUUUGGUCUUUCGGUAUUAUUCUCAUGACAACCACAACUAGUAUGCAUCUAUCCUUUUCUCUAUAUUGUAAUUCUAUAUUAUUGUACUUGUAAAUAUGUAUCCAGAUACAUAUGUGACAAUGUACAUAAUUUUCGCAAGUAUGCAUGGAUAUGUAUAUAUGUUUUUUAUGCAUGUUGUUGGAAUGUACGCUCAUAUUAUAUUAGUCAUAAAUUGAUUUUGGUAAUUAAGUUGGUGAAUAUUUCAGUCAAUGUAACGUGGCUCUCAAAGACACAAGAAGACCGUGCAUGGCGUUGAACCUUUUUCUGAGAAUCAAGAAAAGACUUUCUUUAAUCAAUAGGAUUCAAGAAAAGACAACUCCUCCUACAACACAAAAUGAUUUAAUUACUUGAAAGGAACUUUAUAUCUUCGACUUUAACUGCUAUGACGGUUAAUUUUGCUCUAUGUAUGUAUAGAAGAAUUUGGAUAGUCAAUAUCAUUUUGUGAGAACUAUGUUGAAAUAGGACAUCAACAUCCAAUUUCAAAAAAGUCUGUAAGAUUUUACUUUAUAUAUUUUGUAUUUUCCAUUUCACUAUUUUUGCCUUGUCAAGAAUCGUGAAGACAAAAUCAACUUAACCAACGCCAUGCUAGAAACAAUAAAUACUUCACGCUUUAUGAAUGAUAUCGUAAUAGCAUCUCGUUACUUUUCAAAGGUCGUAAUAUAUAUGAACCUCCCUAUAAUGAACUUACUCUCUAGCAUGGAUUAUAAGUGUUCCUCUGUUGUUUCUAACUUGCUUAUGUUCAAGACCUGUCAAGGUUAGCCUCCAUUUUUUUAAAAUAAUGCAAUCAGUAAUUUAAUCAUUUCUCUUGUAUUUCCCAAAAAGAAAAUUGCAUUGAAAUAGUUAGAAUGAGACAUUCUAAUCAAGAAGGUAUAGUAAAUUGCACCCAAGUUGCCCAAGUUAAAAAUAACAAAUUUCUCUAACUUGAUAUUCAUUGUUUUCGAAAAAUGCAUGUGAGAAUCGAAAAUUAAAUCGACCGAUGGCAUUUUGCCUUUUGAUAUGAAUAAUGCGUUUGAUUAUAUUGCAUUUUAGUAGCAAUUUAUUUUCCUAAUAUGUUUUUAAGCAUGUUGUCGGUAUUUAUGUUUUCAUCUUAAAACAGUCAUAAAUUGACUUUGGCUCUAAAAGACAUAGUUUAUGGAUAUACGUGAUGUUGAUCCUAAUCUCUCGAGAUUCGAGUAGUCCCUUAACCUAAAGGAUUCAUAUAGAUGUUCAUAACACGCAGCGGAAGACAAUAACAAUCCUAUAAACAUCUUUUCGUAUUUAAAAUUUAUUUAUAUGUCAAAGAUCAGAUCUAAGACGUACCUGGUGAACAGAGUCGUUUUAAAGUUUCUUCGAUAGUGCGAAACUCUAUGUGUAUCCACACCGAGACCGAUCUUGCUAUCAACUCUUUGAUUAAUGAAACCCGCGAACAAAUUGUAUGAAAAUAUUGUACUACAGUUUUUCUCAAAAAACUUAGCCUAGACGUGAAAGACCAAGCUAAUUUUCUUGCUAAGAGUAUUACUUGACUCUUUCGAUAUCUCUGUUGGUUUUGCGAAGCUGUGUUGGUCACGUUGAUUUAGUUUAUGUCUAAACUUGAAAGAAAAGGAACCGAAAGACCCAAGUUCUAAAUUGGACUUUUACAAUUUUAUAUAGGAAAAUACUAAUUCCAUUACUCGUGGGAUUCUGAUAGCCUACACGCCCUUUAUGGACUUUCUCAUUAAUCCAAUUCAAAGUUGGUUAACUUAUAAGUCCUUUCUUAACAUUUUAUAUAUCUUUAUAUAUAAAUAUUAAUUAUAUAUAUAGUUCAACCAAGAGAUAUGUUUUAAUUUUAUAUUCCAAAUAGAAAACUUUAAUUUGUUCACAAUAUUAAUUAUAUCCUUUGUGCUAGCAAAGAAUAUAAUAAUAUUUCAUUUGGACUAAUAACUAAAUUUAUUUGACUAAUUAAAUUCUUUAACUUAAUUAUCAAAUAAUAAAGUAAUUAAUCCUUUAGCAAAGAUCAGAACACUCGUUAAUGUGCGACCCCAUAGGUUCAAUACUAAGCCGGUAGUAAAUUAAUAAUAUCAAUAUACUAAUCAAGGGUGGCGUCUAGCAACACUCCUUAACAAGGGCGGAUUUAGGGGGGCGGAAGGGGGUUCGCCGAAAAAUUACACUAUAUAUAUAAGGCAAAAUCGGUUUUUUACCUCUAUGUAUUAAGUUUUGAACCUCCUUGACACAACCCGAAAGUGUAGCUUAGUGGUCAAAGGGGUUCAAAAUCUUUGAAAGGUCAUAAGUUCAAUUCCCACUAGCUACGAUUUGUUUUUCUUGAACCCCCUUCGAUGAGAUCCUGGCUCCGCCACUGCUCCUUAACGACUGGAUAGAAUGAAGUAUACAAUUUACUCUCAAAUCCUAAUAGGCGACCAACUAUGUGUUCAUAUCAAAUAUAAUUGACCAUUGAAUGACCUAAGAAACUCUUUUCUUCUUUCAUUCAAUUGCCCUGGCCAAAGUCUUAGUUUGGUCGUUUAUAAUCCAUAACAACAUGGAGCUUAAACUCAUUACCAAUAAUUGACAGAUUUCAUCUUGAUCAAUCACUAAUUCUACAAGCAUUUAAUCAUGCCCAUUAUCCUUUCAACUAUCGCCCUAGGGCCAUAGGUGUCUAGUCAAAAUUGGUCAUACUUUAUUUCCUAGUCAAAAUAUCUCAUUCUAACUAUUCUGAUUGUUUUUCUUUUCUUGAGGCAUAAUAAUAAUAAUACAUAUUAGAGAGCCAAUUAAUUAUUGAGAUCUGUAUAAAUUAUAAUUUUUGAGAAGCAAUGGGAUACUCACACAAAAACAUUCAUAAAGCAUGACUUGUUAUUCUUAAUGUGACAUUUCUUUAGUUUGGUUGACUCUUCAGUAUUCUUCUUAAUCACUAAUUAUUAUUUAUCUCACAUCAUUUCCAUAUUGUGAUGCUAUAGAACUGUUCUUGUCAAUAUGUAUAUUGAUACAUAUGUGACAAUAUUUUCAUUCAUGUUUGCAUGUUGUUUUCAUGUUAUAUCAAAAAGAAAAUGAUUUUGAUAAUUAUAAUGGCGAAUAUUAUAGUCAAAACACGGAAGACACUAACUUUGGCUUCACGUGAUAUCCAUCCCAAUUUCUCAGGAUUCAAAAGGGGACUACUCCCACAACUUGAUGAUUUAAUCACUUGUGGAGAACCCUGCAUUUUCAAUUUAAACUGCUACCAUUUGUUAGUUCUUCUCUAGGAAUGUAUACUAGGAUUGUGAUAGUCAAAUAGGCCAUCGGUGUCUAAUUUCAACAAAUUAACAAAGUUACUUUACCCGUCGAUUUUGUCCCCAAAUUCCUCUUACACACGGAAAUAAUAUUACACACCAAAACUUUUAAAGGUUUGUCUAUUACGCACCACUUCGAUACUUGACCACAUCUUCUUAAGGAUUGCAAUUACACGCGUCAAUCAGCAUCCGACACGUGUCAUAAAUCAAGAAAAAAAACUGAAGAGGUGUGUAAUAGAAUAGACACAUGUCAGAUGAUUUUUUUAGCUUUCACGCGACUCUUUUAUGUGUGAUACAAGCGUGUGUGACACAUGGCAAAAGAGGUAUGUAAUAGACACUUUUAAAAAAUUUGAUGUGUAACAUUAUUCCCGUGUUUAACAUGCGUGAAUGAGGGAUUUGGGGACAAGGUCAAUGGGUAAAAUAUGUAUUUUACCUUGAUUUUUUAGUAAUUUGAUUUGUUAUAAGAAGAUAUUAGUGAAAACUAAACUAUGUUUAAGCAACGUCAUACUAAAAAUAAUACUUCAACUUUAUAAAUAUUUUUUUGUGAGUAUCUCAUUUCUUUUCAAAGGAAUAUAUAUACAUACCUCAAAUGAAUUGGCUCUCUAUGGUAGAUUGUAGGAGUUUCUUUAUUGACUUGUUUUAUGUUCAAGAAAUGCCAAAAUCUUUAAGAUAACACAAUUUAUAAUUUAGCCAUUACUCUUUUGCACCUUCUAAAAAUUAAAUUUUGCAUUCAAAUAGUUAAAAAAACAAAUAUUCUAACAGAGUAAAGUAUAGUAAAUUGUGCUUCUCAGCUGUCCCAAUUAAAAAUAAUGAAUUGUGCUAAUUACAAAUUAAUUAUUUUCUAAAGAUACACGUAAUAAUUAUUUUCUUGGUUUGCUAAAACUUUUAGAAGUACUUCUCAUUAGUGGCUUUAUAUGUGUCUUUAAUAUCAGUGGGUAACGGUUGCUACGUGUUAAAAGUUAACCACUAUUAUUAGAUACAGAUAAAACCAUCUAUAUGCAUUAGUGUACAUUUCAUGCGCUUGAUCGCGUUAAUAUAAUAUCAAGAAAUACUAUCAAAAUUUUAAUCAAACUUUUAACUGUAAAGUUUUUGGUCCCCAGUUUUAAAAGAGAAAAGCGCACAUUUUCUUUAAAGGGAAAUGGUUAAAUUUGUUGUUCUACUAUAAAUUGAGCAACUUUACCCUUUAUUAAACUUUGGUCUAAUAUUACUUCUACCAUUAGUAUAAGUCAUGUUUUCCCUUAACCCUAAGGGAGCACUAAAAAAGCGCCAACUUGAGAUAAUUUUAAAGCAUAAAGUUGAUGAAUAAAACUUUUUUUAGAAAAUUUUGGACACAUGGAUCCACUCAUUUUGCGUUAGAGCUCUGUUAAUGGCAAGACGAAUAUGAGAAAGUUUACUAAUAGGAAGGUUAUAAGUGUACCAAAAGUGUAACUGACAGCCAAAUUAAGCAAUUUUGGAUAGUAUCGGAGUAAAUUUUCUCUUUCUCUAAUAAAGUGGAUAAUAUGUUUCCAAUACCAUAUUCAGUAUGCACAUCUUAACCUCAAAAUACUAUGGAUUGGUUCCAUCUUCAAUUCCCAAUUACAUCUUCCUAGAAUGGAUCUAAAAUUACAUUGACUCAUUAUUUUUAAUUGGGUCAACCUAGAAACACAAUUUAUCAUACUUCAUUCCUAGUCAACUUGGCUCAGUCUAACUAUUUAAUAGUGAUUUUCUUUUUCCGGGAUAUGUAGGGGAAAAUGAAUAAAUCAUAGAUUGCAUAAUUUAAGAUAAAAGCAAACCUUGGCAUGUGUUGAACAUAUUACAAUUUAGAAAUAUUUAAGAAAAAAGAAACAAAUCUAAUAAAAUAAUAGAGAGUCGAUACAUUUUAGGGAAAUAUAAUACUACAACCUUUGAAAAGCAAUGAGAUGCUCACACAAAAAAUAUUCAUAAAGCGUGAAGUAUUAUUCCUAGAAUGGCAUUGCUUAAGCUUGAUUUUCUUAGUUAAUCUUUUCAUGACUACCACUACUAAUUAGUAUUCAUUUCUUCUUUAUAGAUUGUAAUUCUAAAUUAUUGUUCUUGUCAACAUGUGUGUCGACACUUAUGCGACUAUGUACAUAAUUCAUACUCUUUCUGUUUCAAAAAGAUUGGCAUUAUUACUAUUUGGGAAGUCUACGAGGUUGUUCUUUGAUCACGUUUUUGUUAAACAUUUUAUAAAUAUUUUGAAUUAUGACUUAUAAUACUUUUAUGUAGUUUUUGAAAAUAUAAAUUUUAUUUUCAAAACAUUGAAGAAUUUAUGUCCAAAUCUACUGUUAUCCUCGUACUCCGAACUAUGCCAAUAUUUUUGAAAGAGAAAGGAGUGUAUAUUUAUGUACAUGUUUUUAUGCAUGUUGGAAUGUGUAUUUUCAUGUUAAUGAUGAUAGUGAAUAUCACUGGAAGUAAGCGUGAGUAUAGGUCAAAACUUUUAACAACUUCACUGCCUAUAUAAUAAUUUAACCUUCCACUGAGAAAACAUGCAGUAUAUUUCCAAUAAACAUUUUAUUUUUAGCAGCUCAUAGAGCUUGUCAAAAUAACAAUGCCUGUAACAACGUAAACAACAAUGAGGGAAUAAAAAGGACGAUAGCACUUUCAGCACGUUUAAAAAUCUAAUCAUGAAAGUGUUAAGACCUCCGUGAUAUUACGUCCCGAAUUUAAGCAUGUUAAAAAUCUAAAGCCCUUAAUUAAGAAUCAAACAACUGGUAACGAAAAGUAUAAUGAUCGAAGACUACAGAUCUGAAAAUUGUGAAAUAGAACAUACUAGGGCUUGUGAUUGAACGCACCGUUUGAAGACGGAGAGGCGUAAGUGUUGAAGUGCGGCGUAAGAGCAGCUUCAGGAAUUCUGCCGGCGGCGGCGGUGGCGGUGGCGGUAGCGGUGUCUUUUUAUCUUUUGUGAACAAAACAGUGGCACAUCGAUUGAAUUUGAAUUGAAGUGUGAGGAGUGAUGGCUAUUUAAG
rnacentral:lncRNA from 1 species